CGUUUGCGUGAGGGAUAGCAGUGGAGCUCUUUUUAUAAUUAGCAUUUUUUGCUAAUUAUAAAAAAGCGGGAACGAAUAGCCCGGCCCGCC
rnacentral:sRNA from 1 species